CUACCAUGCAGUCGAGCGCCCCGCAAGGGGAGCGGCAGACGGGUGAGUAACGCGUGGGAAUCUACCCAUCUCUACGGAAUAACCCAGGGAAACUUGGACUAAUACCGUAUACGUCCUUCGGGAGAAAGAUUUAUCGGAGAUGGAUGAGCCCGCGUUGGAUUAGCUAGUUGGUGGGGUAAAGGCCUACCAAGGCGACGAUCCAUAGCUGGUCUGAGAGGAUGAUCAGCCACACUGGGACUGAGACACGGCCCAGACUCCUACGGGAGGCAGCAGUGGGGAAUAUUGGACAAUGGGCGAAAGCCUGAUCCAGCCAUGCCGCGUGAGUGAUGAAGGCCCUAGGGUUGUAAAGCUCUUUCAACGGUGAAGAUAAUGACGGUAACCGUAGAAGAAGCCCCGGCUAACUUCGUGCCAGC
rnacentral:rRNA from 1 species